ACCAAUUUAAGGUGAAGUGUGAGAAGCAGAGGGCUUGAAGCCUGAGGCAAAAAUGUAAGAGUAGCGUAACUUCGGCUAAGUUGGAUUCUUGAUCCCAGGUAGUUUUCUAUGCCAAGGUCAGGACCUUGUUCGCAAAGGAGGAAACCCAGAGACUCGGGAUGGGGACAUUUGGGUUGAUGUGGACAAAUAUCUUUAAACACCAAUCCCUGUGGAUUUUGGGGGCCUGCAAACGUGACCCACUCCUCUUGGUCUUGUUUGAAGAUGAUGCAGAGGAAGCUUCUAUUUUGUGAUAAAACCUGUGUCCCCUCACAAUCUACUUUCCUCCUCUCCUGAUCCCUAGACCCAUAACUAGGGUCAAGUCACCAUGACAGCCCAGAAGAGAAACGCUGGACAUGGUAAGAGAUGAAGAUGACUAUUCAGCUGCUGUGGGCCCUGGUCAACCUACAUCUGCUGGAAUCAGGAGAGUACGGUCUGGAUACUGAGGAUGCUGGACCAUGGAGCGUAGAACAUACAGCUGGGUGUGGAGAGUUCAUUGGAAAGGAGCACACGCCUGUGAUAAGGGUUUACACACUCUGCUGAGGGUGUCAGGAAGUGGUGCUAACACACUGGUGGUGAGAAAAGCUUGGAGAAAUGAUGGCUCCACACUGAGCAGAGAGGCCAGAAUCACAUGGCAAAUGGUGGAAAAGACGGUUAAAAGGCUCAAAGAAGUGGACAGUCCAGAACAGGCAGAGAACGUAGGGGUGGAAAACGUCCCCGCUCCAUUUCUUUGGAAGAUGGGGGAGCCCCUCCGUAGAGAUACAGAAAGGGCUGGUGGGAGAGGGCACUAGCGUCAUUGAGAAGCUCUGUUGGGGCUGAUGUAGGGGGUUCCUUACAGAACCCGGCUCACCAAAUCUCAGAGAUCAGGCUUACAGAAAGAGCAGAAAGGCCAACGUGGAAGGCGGGUGAGCAGGUGAGGGGAGCGCUUUAUCUUCAGAGAGCGAUGGGGACAAUUACUUGAACACAGUGUCUUCACAGGCACAAGGGUGGUGUCCAGUCUACACAACCAAUGAGAUAAAGGCUGGAUGAUGGGAGGUCGCGGUUAGCCUUUACCUUUACUGACCAAGAAGAAGAGGAAAAACAGAAAUUAAUCAAGCUAUGUUGGAAAGUGGAGUCACUGCUAUGGUCUCUUAGCAAAGGAAAGAUAAUAUAACAGUGCUGUGAACUGCCCACGAGUUUACGUAGUUUAGACGAGACGGAAAAUUCAAUUCCCCGGAUUCGGCAGGCAUGUGCCGCCCGUGGAUGGCGCACCUAGUCCAAGGGGGAGGAAAACGCUUAGUGUGAGCUUCCCAACUUAUCUUGCAGAAGCUUUCGUUUAAUAGAAUGUCCCUAUGUUUCAUUCUUUACCUUCUCUCAGUACUAGGAUUUAUUUUACAAUAGCCGCUCAUUGAGGCGUUUGAGUGUCGUACUCAUAACUUGAGGGAGCAUUUUGUAAAAUAAGACAAAAUCUUAUCCAGUUGUCAGGAUGUUUCUUGGCAAGAGUAGUGAUCACAAGAAGACAACACAUCAAAGAAUAUGUGAUCAGAGAUUUCAAGGGCCGUUAUAAUUAUCUGCAUUUGGGAGUGAAGAAUUCUGCAGAGCAGACUGCAUGUUACCUGGAGUCUGAAUGAGCCGCUCCUCUAUCUUCACCUGUAAGUUCCUAUUGCUUUCAUCAGCUAAAUCACAACAUUGAAUACAGUUCUAUAUAU
ensembl:lncRNA